GGUCGAUUCGGCUAUGGGUAGGCCUUCCGGUUCUCGACCGGACAAAGCGGUUCGAGUCCCGCAUCGACUA
rnacentral:tRNA from 1 species